UACGUAGGGCGCAAGCGUUGUCCGGAAUUAUUGGGCGUAAAGAGCUCGUAGGCGGCCUGUCGCGUCUGCUGUGAAAUCCCGGGGCUCAACCCCGGGCCUGCAGUGGAUACGGGCUGGCUGGAGGCAGGCAGGGGAGAACGGAAUUCCUGGUGUAGCGGUGAAAUGCGCAGAUAUCAGGAGGAACACCGGUGGCGAAGGCGGGUCUCUGGGCCGUUACUGACGCUGAGGAGCGAAAGCGUGGGGAGCGAACAGG
rnacentral:rRNA from 1 species